CUGAUCUGUGACUGCGAAGUGGGGACUGGAGACAUCUAGAUGGCCAAGUCGGCUUACCUCAAGCCUGCGACAGGGUCUUCAAGCUGAGCUGGGCCCCAACACAGGCGAAGAUCCUAUGUUCUUUUCUGGGCUGCCUGUGUGAAUUGAAGACCACUGAAUCUUCAGUACUCCAGACCUUCAGCACCACAUUGGUCCUACUGAGGCAGCCAGCCUUGUGGACUGAGCAACUACAGAACUGUUGGUCUCUCCUGUGUUUGACAGACUGUUGUAUUGCCCAGAAGUUUGGACUGCCUAACAUAUACUGAAGAUCUUCCAGACAUUUUGGAUUUCUACAUCUAUCUUGAAGAGACACCAGCUCAUUUGACAGAGGCCACACAUGUGAUUUGGGCUAAGGUGAAAACAUCAUUAUCUCGGGAACCUCAGACUUUCUGGAAAGUUAUGAGGAAAUAAGGCUUGAGUCACCUUUCUGCUGCGAAGAGGACUGUCAAGGACAGCAGGAGUAUAUUUAGAGUUUGGAGCAGCUGAACCCUAUACCGCUAAGAGGUGGAAGAUAGCAUUUUGAUGGCAUCACAGUAUACGGAGAGAUUGGCCUCCAUCAAUACCACCCCACUUAAAGGCGGUGCCUACAAGACACAACCACAGAACUGGGGAAAACACAUGCUAAUGACCUCUGUGAUGGUUGUAGUACAUACAGUAUGUGGUAUUGAUAGACAUGCUGGAAUGGCCAAUUGUAUCAAGAAUUAAUCUGUGAGAUACAACCUUCUUCUAGCAGAAAACAAAAAGAGAAAUGAACACACCAAAAAUAUAUAUACAAUUGCACAUGGAUCGAUAUACAUUUAUAUGACUUAGUCUCCAUAUAUAUUAAAGAUAAUUCCCUACCGA